UAUAUUUCUCUGAUACUGAGUUGAAAUCUUCAUUUCUGAAACAUCUCAUUGCAAAUCCAUGACUAAUUUGCUGUCUUCUGUCACCCAUAGAUUAUCUGAAAGGACUAAUUUUUGACUCAACUCAACACCUUGUCUUCAUCAAUUUUCACUCAUACAAGGACUGUCUGCUGAGAUCAUUUCCCUUUGAGGGCACUGUCCAUACAGCUGAUAGCUGAAUUCAGACUGAGCUUUAAUGAAGAAACGUCAAAGCUGCUAACAAUCACACAAACAGGGACUCAAGACCUUUGUGACCAAUGAUGUGGUCUUCAUGGAGACUGAUUCUGUUUCUAUCACUCACUGGGUGUCUUUCAGAAUUUCAGCA